rnacentral:rRNA from 1 species
CCUACGUGUGGCAGCAGUGGGGAAUCUUCCGCAAUGGGCGAAAGCCUGACGGAGCAACGCCGCGUGAUCGAAUGAAGGCCUUCGGGUUGUAAAGAUCUGUUGACAGGGACGAAUAAGCAAUGCGAAUAGUUUUGUGUAUGACGGUACCUGUUUAGAAAGCUCCGGCUAACUACGUGCCAGCAGCCGCGGUAAUACGUAGGGAGCAAGCGUUGUACGGAAUUACUGGGCGUAAAGGGCGAGUAGGUGGGAAGCCAAGUCAGCUGUGAAAACUACGGGCUUAACUUGUAGACUGCAGUUGAAACUGGUUUUCUUGAGUGAAGUAGAGGUUGGCGGAAUUCCGAGUGUAGCGGUGAAAUGCGUAGAUAUUCGGAGGAACACCGGUGGCGAAGGCGACCAACUGGGCUUUAACUGACGCUGAGGAGCGAAAGCGUGGGUAGCAAACAGGAUUAGAUACCCCUGUAGUC